rnacentral:rRNA from 1 species
AGUGAACGCUGGCGGCGUGCCUAAUACAUGCAAGUCGAACGAUGAAGCCUAGCUUGCUAGGCGGAUUAGUGGCGCACGGGUGAGUAACGCAUAGAUGACAUGCCCUUUAGUUUGGGAUAGCCACUAGAAAUGGUGAUUAAUACCAAAUAUUACCCUACGGGNGA